rnacentral:rRNA from 1 species
UACGUAGGUGGCAAGCGUUGUCCGGAUUUAUUGGGCGUAAAGAGCUCGUAGGCGGCUUGUCGCGUCGACUGUGAAAACCCGAGGCUCAACUUCGGGCUUGCAGUCGAUACGGGCAGGCUAGAGUUCGGUAGGGGAGACUGGAAUUCCUGGUGUAGCGGUGAAAUGCGCAGAUAUCAGGAGGAACACCGAUGGCGAAGGCAGGUCUCUGGGCCGAUACUGACGCUGAGGAGCGAAAGCGUGGGGAGCGAGCAGG